rnacentral:rRNA from 1 species
GACGAACGCUGGCGGCGUGCUUAACACAUGCAAGUCGAACGAAGUGGCGAACGGGUGAGUAAUACGUGGGUAACCUGCCCUCCUUUUUGGGAUAGCCUCGGGAAACCGGGAUUAAUACCAAAUGGUCUAAGAUGGACUCGCGUCCCAUUAGCUAGUUGGUGAGGUAACGGCCCACCAAGGCGACGAUGGGUAGCCGGCCUGAGAGGGUGAACGGCCACAUUGGAACUGAGAAACGGUCCAAACUCUACGGGAGGCAGCAGUGGGGAAUAUUGCACAAUGGGCGAAAGCCUGAUGCAGCGACGCCGCGUGGGGGAUGAAGGCUUUCGGGUUGUAAACCUCUUUCGCUAUCGAACGGGUAGGUGGAGAAGAAGCGCCGGCUAACUACGUGCCAGCAGCCGCGGUAAUAC